UACGUAGGGUGCGAGCGUUAAUCGGAAUUACUGGGCGUAAAGCGUGCGUAGACGGUUGCGUAAGUCAGAUGUGAAAGCCCCGGGCUCAACCUGGGAAUUGCAUUUGAGACUGCGUAGCUAGGGUGCGGAAGAGGGAAGCGGAAUUUCCGGUGUAGCGGUGAAAUGCGUAGAUAUCUGGAGGAACACCGGUGGCGAAGGCGGCAUCCUGGACCAAUAUUGACGCUGAGGAGCGAAAGCCAGGGGAGCAAACGGG
rnacentral:rRNA from 1 species